GCCUCCCAAAAUGCUGGGAUUACAGGUGUGAGCCACCACUCCUGGCUGGUGUUCAGAGUUUUUACUGGGAGUUGGUCAAGUAGAUGUGGCUGACUGCCUGUGUGGUUGACCCAGUUUUUACUCUCUGUGGAGGUACAGCAAUAAUACAUGGUGCAAAGCCCUCACCAUAAAUCACAGAGUUAUUGUAGACUCUUCCAGUGUCCCACUGCCCCCUGGAGAAUGAAUGAAUGAAUGAAUGAAUGAAUGAAUGGGACUCUGCAUCCAUCACCUCACCUGCAGCCAUGACUCACCUGUGUCCCCUGACAGUCCCCUCCUAGCACUGCCCACGCCUGAGGCUGGCCAGGGUGGCUCCUUCCUGGUUUGGGGCUGGCCUCAUGCCCUCUGCCCUGCUGCUUCCCCUGUGAAAGCAGAAGUCAGGAGAGGAUCUUUCAGGACAUUGCGGUUCCCGAGGUUCCUCCUCUGCGGAUGGUCACUGUCCCUCUGCCGGGCUUCCUGCUCGAGGAGUUUCCUUCCCCGCCAGGCCGGCCCAGAAGCCCGAUGGUCCCGGGACAGGCCCAGCCCCAGAGCCCAGAGAUGCUGCUGCUGCCCCUGCUGCUGCCUGUGCUGGGGGCGGGGUCCCUGAACAAGGAUCGCAGUUACAGUCUUCAAGUGCAGAGGCUGGUGACGGUGCAGGAGGGCCUGUGCAUCAUGGUGCCUUGCAACCUCUCCUACCCCUGGGAUGGCUGGAACGAGUCUACUGCUGCUUAUGGCUACUGGUUCAAAGAAGGGACCAACACAUAUACAGGUGCUCCUGUGGCCACAAACCACCAGAGUCGAGAGGUGGAAAUGAGCGCCCGGGGCCGAUUCCAGCUCACUGGGGAUCCCGGCAAGGGGAGCUGCUCCUUGGUGAUCAGAGACGCGCAGAGGGAGGAUGAGGCACGGUACUUCUUUCGGGUGGAGAGAGGAAUGUAUGUGAGAUAUAAUUUCAUGAACAAUGGGUUCCUUCUAAAAGUAACAGUGCUCAGUCACGCCCAGCCGCACCAGGACCACGACACCAACCUCACUGCCACGUGGAUUCUCCAGAAAGGGUGUGAGCGCACAGAGACGAUCCGACUCACGCGUGAACCUAACGCCCCAGGACCUUGUUAUCAGCAUUUCGCGGGACAAACGGCCUGAAACCCAGGAAAAUCUCACCAUCUGAAGCCCAGAAGGCCAGUUCCUGGCGGCCCUCUGUGCUGCUGACAGCCAGCCCCCGUCCACGCUGGAGCCCUGGUGGCCUGCAGGACAGAGUCCUUCCUUGUCCCACCCCUGGGCCCAGAACCCUGGGGCUGGAGCUUGCCCGGAGGAAGGGGCGGGGUCAAGGGCGCUACACCUGCCGAGCGGAGAACAGGCUUGGCUCCCAGCAGCGAGCCCUGGACCUCUCUGUGCAGUAUCCUCCAGAGAACCUGAGAGUGAUGGUUUCCCAAGCAAACAGGACAGUCCUGGAAAACCUCGGGAACGGCACGUCCCUCCCGGUCCUGGAGGGCCAAAGCCUGCGCCUGGUCUGUGUCACCCACAGCAGCCCCCCAGCCAGGCUGAGCUGGACCCAGGGGGGACAGACCGUGGGCUCCUCCCAGCCCUCAGACCCCGGGGUCCUGGAAUUGCCUCGGGUUCAAGUGGAGCAAGAAGGAGAGUUCACCUGCCACGCUCAGCACCCGUUGGGCUCCCAGCACGUCUCUCUCAGCCUCUCCGUGCACUACCCCCCACAGCUGCUGGGCCCCUCCUGCUCCUGGGAGGCUGAGGGUCUGCACUGCAGCUGCUCCUCCCAAGCCAGCCCGGCCCCGGCUCUGAGCUGGUGGAUUGGUGGGGAGCUGUUGGAGGGGAACAGCAGCCAGGGCUUCUUCGAGGUCACCCCCAGCUCAGCCAGGCCCUGGGUCAACAGCUCCCUCAAGCCUCCAAGUGGGGGCUUGGCUCCAACCUCAGGCUCCGCUUGGAGGCCCAGAACGUCCAUGGGACCCAGAACUCUCGUUUCCUGCUGGACAGUCAGGGUGUAGGGUAGGGAGGCCUGGGUUCUCCAGGUCCCACAGCCAAAGGUGUAGGAAGGGCCUGGAGAACCCAGAUUGAAGUUGCAAUAAGAAAGGAAGGACUCAGGACUGUAGUUUAGCAGGUGAACGGGCCUCAUCCCACUUUUCCAGGCAAAUCAGGGCCCGUGACGGGGCUGGUUGUGGUGGCUGUCGGGGAGAUGGCUACGAAGAUCCUGCUUCUCUGCCUCUGCCUCAUCCUCCUCAGAGUGAGGUCCUGCAGGAGGAAGGCAGCAAGGGCAGCACUGGGCAUGCAGGCUGCAGACACUGUCACAGACUAAUCUCCAGACUCCAGACUGCUUCCAGGUGCCUCCUCAUCCAGUUCCUCCACUGUCUGAGCGGCUGUGUUUCCCCUGCAGGCCUUGCAUGGGUCAGCACCAUGAAUGCUCGGCAGGCACCUCCCAAGACCACCUGCCCCCAGGUGCAGCCACCCCCACCCCAGGGCAGGGGGAAGAGCGGGAGCCCCACUAUGCCUCCCUCAGCUUCCAGGGCCUGAGGCUCCGGGAGCCUGAGGACCAGGAGGCCCCCAGCAGCACCGAGUACUCAGCGAUCAAGAUCCACAAGAGGCGGCCCCCGAAGGGCUCGGGCUUUGGUUGGAGAGGGAGACGUCAGGGAUGGUUCCGAGGUGAAGAGUUCUCCAUGGAAACAGGACACCAGCAAGUGUGUGGGAGUCGUGCUGGUGUGACAGCCAGAACUGGACUCAGAUUUCAGCCUCAUCCUGAGACUAAUAGUUUGAGCAAGUUACUUUACUCCUCACUUUCCUCCUCUGUGCGGUGGACACAGUCAGCCUAACUCACAGGGUUCUUGUGAGGCAUAAGGAAGUAAUUAACAUAAAGCAUCCAUCAGAGGCGAGUCUCAUCUGAGUCACGCCUCUUCCCAGGGCAGCCCAUGAUGUGGGCUGACCACCCUGGUCCAAACUGAGACGCUUCUGCAGGGCAGGUCCAGCUUCAGAGCUCCCUGAAGCCUCGGCUGGGGCUGUCCUUGGACCGCAUGGUAGCUUGAUUGAUUCUCUGUCACUCCCGCUCCCCCCACUCCCACUAUGGAUCCCGGGGCAGCCUACACAUCCCUGCAGGCUGCUCUCUGCCUCAGAGCCCGCUUCCUGGGACCUCAACCUCCGUAUUUUACCAGACACAGAUAAUCAUCCAUUAUUUAUCUGAAAUAAAUUAUAAAUGUGUGAAUCA